CUGAUUUAUUGAAAGGUGCUUGCAUUCCUUGAUUUAGAUUUUGAACGAGUGGCGGACGGGUGAGUAACACGUGGGUAACCUGCCCUUAAGUGGGGGAUAACAUUUGGAAACAGAUGCUAAUACCGCAUAAAUCCAAGAACCGCAUGGUUCUUGGCUGAAAGAUGGCGUAAGCUAUCGCUUUUGGAUGGACCCGCGGCGUAUUAGCUAGUUGGUGAGGUAACGGCUCACCAAGGCAAUGAUACGUAGCCGAACUGAGAGGUUGAUCGGCCACAUUGGGACUGAGACACGGCCCAAACUCCUACGGGAGGCAGCAGUAGGGAAUCUUCCACAAUGGACGCAAGUCUGAUGGAGCAACGCCGCGUGAGUGAAGAAGGCUUUCGGGUCGUAAAACUCUGUUGUUGGAGAAGAAUGGUCGGCAGAGUAACUGUUGUCGGCGUGACGGUAUCCAACCAGAAAGCCACGGCUAACUACGUGCCAGCAGCCGCGGUAAUACGUAGGUGGCAAGCGUUAUCCGGAUUUAUUGGGCGUAAAGCGAGCGCAGGCGGUUUUUUAAGUCUGAUGUGAAAGCCCUCGGCUUAACCGAGGAAGUGCAUCGGAAACUGGGAAACUUGAGUGCAGAAGAGGACAGUGGAACUCCAUGUGUAGCGGUGAAAUGCGUAGAUAUAUGGAAGAACACCAGUGGCGAAGGCGGCUGUCUGGUCUGUAACUGACGCUGAGGCUCGAAAGCAUGGGUAGCGAACAGGAUUAGAUACCCUGGUAGUCCAUGCCGUAAACGAUGAAUGCUAGGUGUUUGGAAGGGUUUCCGCCCUUCAGUGCCGCAGCUAACGCAUUAAGCAUUCCGCCUGGGGGAGUACGACCGCAAGGUUGAAACUCAAAGGAAUUGACGGGGGCCCGCACAAGCGGUGGAACAUGUGGGUUUAAUUCGAAGCAACGCGAAGAACCUUACCAGGUCUUGACAUCUUUUGAUCACCUGAGAGAUCAGGUUUCCCCUUCGGGGGCAAAAUGACAGGUGGUGCAUGGUUGUCGUCAGCUCGUGUCGUGAGAUGUUGGGUUAAGUCCCGCAACGAGCGCAACCCUUAUGACUAGUUGCCAGCAUUUAGUUGGGCACUCUAGUAAGACUGCCGGUGACAAACCGGAGGAAGGUGGGGAUGACGUCAAAUCAUCAUGCCCCUUAUGACCUGGGCUACACACGUGCUACAAUGGAUGGUACAACGAGUUGCGAGACCGCGAGGUCAAGCUAAUCUCUUAAAGCCAUUCUCAGUUCGGACUGUAGGCUGCAACUCGCCUACACGAAGUCGGAAUCGCUAGUAAUCGCGGAUCAGCACGCCGCGGUGAAUACGUUCCCGGGCCUUGUACACACCGCCCGUCACACCAUGAGAGUUUGUAACACCCGGAAAGCCGGUGGCGUAAACCCUUUAGGGAGCGAGCCGUC
rnacentral:rRNA from 1 species